rnacentral:rRNA from 1 species
UACGUAGGGUGCGAGCGUUAAUCGGAAUUACUGGGCGUAAAGCGUGCGCAGGCGGUUUUGAAAGACAGGCGUGAAAGCCCCGGGCUCAACCUGGGAAGUGCACUCGAUACUGCCCGGCUAGAGUACUGGAGAGGUUGGUGGAAUUCUCGGUGUAAAGGUGAAAUUCGUAGAUAUCGAGAGGAACACCGGUGGCGAAGGCGGCCAACUGGACAGAUACUGACGCUGAGACACGAAAGCGUGGGGAGCAAACAGG